rnacentral:rRNA from 1 species
AACUAACAUUGGCGGCAGGCCUAACACAUGCAAGUCGCACGGGAUAAGACAUGUAGUAAUACUUGUUUUAUUUAGUGGCGCACGGGUGAGUAACACGUGAAUUACAUGCCCUAUAGUGGGGAAUAGCCCAGGGAAACUUGGAUUAAUACCCCAUGGUAUCGAAAGAUUAAAGGUGGCCGCAAGGCUGUCGCUAUAGGAUUGGUUCGCGCCCUAUCAGCUUGUUGGUGAGGUAACGGCUCACCAAGGCAAUGACGGGUACCUGGUCUGAGAGGACGAUCAGGCACACUGGAACUGAGACACGGUCCAGACACCUACGGGUGGCAGCAGUCGAGAAUAAUUCACAAUGGGGGCAACCCUGAUGGUGCAACGCCGCGUGGAGGAUGACGGUCUUCGGAUUGUAAACUCCUGUCAUCUGGGAGAAAGACCUGACGGUAAAUAGCCGGCAGGGUUGAUAGUACCAGAAGAGGAAGGGACGGCUAACUUCGUGCCAGCCGCCGCAGUAA